UACGUAGGUGGCAAGCGUUGUCCGGAUUUAUUGGGCGUAAAGCGAGCGCAGGCGGAUUGAUAAGUCUGAUGUGAAAGCCUUCGGCUCAACCGAAGAACUGCAUCAGAAACUGUCAAUCUUGAGUGCAGAAGAGGAGAGUGGAACUCCAUGUGUAGCGGUGGAAUGCGUAGAUAUAUGGAAGAACACCAGUGGCGAAGGCG
rnacentral:rRNA from 1 species